rnacentral:rRNA from 1 species
UACGAAGGGGGCUAGCGUUGCUCGGAAUCACUGGGCGUAAAGCGCACGUAGGCGGGUCGUUAAGUCAGGGGUGAAAUCCUGGAGCUCAACUCCAGAACUGCCCUUGAUACUGGCGAUCUCGAGUUCGGGAGAGGUGAGUGGAACUGCGAGUGUAGAGGUGAAAUUCGUAGAUAUUCGCAAGAACACCAGUGGCGAAGGCGGCUCACUGGCCCGGUACUGACGCUGAGGCGCGAAAGCGUGGGGAGCAAACAGG